AUUGCUUCUCAGCCUUUUGGCUAAGAUCAAGUGUAGCAUAUAUUCUUAUUAGUUUAAUAUCUGAGACAUCUUCUAUUUGAGGACAUUAAGUUAAAUGGACUUUUGGAGCUGAAAGAUGGAAUAGGAGCUUGCUCCAUCCACUCUGUACCUUGACCUGGUAUUGCAGUACUUCCAGGAAUGGUGCACCAGAA